rnacentral:rRNA from 1 species
AUUGAACGCUGGCGGAAUGCUUUACACAUGCAAGUCGAACGGCAGCACGGACUUCGGUCUGGUGGCGAGUGGCGAACGGGUGAGUAAUGUAUCGGAACGUGCCCAGUCGUGGGGGAUAACGUAGUGAAAAUUACGCUAAUACCGCAUACGAUCUAUGGAUGAAAGCGGGGGAUCGCACGACCUCGCGCGAUUGGAGCGGCCGAUAACAGAUUAGGUAGUUGGUGGGGUAAAGGCCCACCAAGCCAACGAUCUGUAGCUGGUCUGAGAGGCCGACCAGCCACACUGGAACUGAGACACGGUCCAGACUCCUACGGGAGGCAGCAGUGGGGAAUUUUGGACAAUGGGCGAAGGCCUGAUCCAGCCAUUCCGCGUGCAGGAUGAAGGCCCUCGGGUUGUAAACUGCUUUUGUACAGAACGAAAAGGUUUCUACUAAUACUAGGAGCUCAUGACGGUACUGUAAGAAUAAUCACCGGCUAACUACGUGCCAGCCGCCGCCGUAA